UACAGAGGUGGCAAGCGUUGUUCGGAAUUACUGGGCGUAAAGGGCGCGUAGGCGGCCUUCUAAGUCAGACGUGAAAUCCCCCGGCUUAACCUGGGAACUGCGUCUGAUACUGGAUGGCUUGAAUUCGGGAGAGGGAUGCAGAAUUCCAGGUGUAGCGGUGAAAUGCGUAGAUAUCUGGAGGAAUACCGGUGGCGAAGGCGGCAUCCUGGACCGAUAUUGACACUGAUGAGCGAAAGCUAGGGGAGCGAAACGGG
rnacentral:rRNA from 1 species